rnacentral:rRNA from 1 species
UACGAAGGGGGCUAGCGUUGCUCGGAAUCACUGGGCGUAAAGGGUGCGUAGGCGGGUCUUUAAGUCAGGGGUGAAAUCCUGGAGCUCAACUCCAGAACUGCCUUUGAUACUGAAGAUCUUGAGUUCGGGAGAGGUGAGUGGAACUGCGAGUGUAGAGGUGAAAUUCGUAGAUAUUCGCAAGAACACCAGUGGCGAAGGCGGUUGCCUGGAGCUUUGCUGACGCUGAGGCGCGAAAGCGUGGGGAGCGAUCCGG